GUUACCUGCAGCCUGGAGAACAUGUGAGCUCUCUAAUGAACCUCUCUCUCUCUGUCUUUAUCAGAUAAAUGAAGUGACUUCUCAUCUAUCCGCCCAAACAUGUGCCGUGUUCCGGUUCGUUCUGGUGGAUCCAGGAGAAUCCCUGACCCGCUACGGAUCAGCAGGACUGGUCCAGGCUGAGCCGUGUGCCCGGGAGAGAGGGAUGCAGUGGGGGCAGGUUGCACCGGAGGAGGAGGACCGGGAUGCAGAGAGAGAGGCAGACGUUGGAGAGCAGCAUGGCCGCUGCAGCAGAGAGAGACCCGGCUAAACACCCCCGCCCCUCCCCUCUCAUCCGCGGCUAAGAACACAGACACAGGGAAGACCGAUCUCUUUCCAGGACCAGAUAAAAGAAAGAUAAUCAGGACCUUUAUUUUGGAGAGGCCUGAAUGAGGAGGCCCCACCCUUCCCCGGUUUGUGUGAGAGUGACAGCUGGGGCCCGAGGCAGACGGACGGCCCCGCCCUUCACUGUCAGCCAAACCAGUGAACCACUCAUCCAAAUGUGACAAGGUGGAUGAGCCAUUAUGUUCCUCUUGCACGGGUGGUCUUCUGGUGAAUCAUGCUGGUCCAGGUCUGUGCCGACACACUGUUUGCAUGACCAGUGUCCACACAUAUACUGGACUGGAUCCCUCAAAACCUCUGUACAUACUGAACAGCUGGAAAAUGAAAAGAC